rnacentral:rRNA from 1 species
GAUGAACGCUAGCGGCAGGCUUAACACAUGCAAGUCGAGGGGCAGCGCGGGAUAGCAAUAUCCUGGCGGCGACCGGCGGAAGGGUGCGUAACGCGUGAGCGACAUGCCCGUUGCCCGGGGACAACCGGUGGAAACGCCGACUAAUCCCCGAUGGGAUACGAUGCUUCAUGGCAUUGUAUUGAAAGUUACGGCGGCGACGGAUUGGCUCGCGUCCGAUUAGCUGGUUGGCGGGGUAACGGCCCACCAAGGCUGCGAUCGGUAGGGGUUCUGAGAGGAAGGCCCCCCACAAUGGGACUGAGACACGGCCCAUACUCCUACGGGAGGCAGCAGUGAGGAAUAUUGGUCAAUGGGCGGAAGCCGGAACCAGCCAUGCCGCGUGCGGGAAGGAGGCCCUAUGGGCUGUGAACCGCUUUUGCCUGGGGGCAAUAAGGGCGUCGCGCACGUCCGAUGAGAGUACCAGGCGAAUAAGCAUCGGCUAACUCCGUG